rnacentral:lncRNA from 1 species
GAAACGGUGGGAGGGGUGGAUUCCGCGUGCCCGUGUGCUUAUGUGUGAAGGAAAGUCCUGACUAUAUUUGGGAUUUGUUGCUCUGUGUGUAUAUGUGCGUGUGUGUGUUUGCUAUAUUUGGGGUUCGUUGCUGUGUGUGUGUCCGCUGUAUUUGAGGUUUGUUGCUGUGUGUGUGUGUCCGGUAUAUUUGGGGUUUGUUGCCGUGUGUGUGUGUGUGUGUGUGUGUGUGUGUGUGUGUGUGUAAGAGAGGAAGAGAGAUGAGGAGACAGAAAGUGGGGGAGGGGUGGAUUCCGCGUGCCCGUGUGUUUAUAUGUGAAGGAAAGCCCUGACUGAUUUAUUUGGGAUUCGUUGCCGUCCAGGGACUUCAGGACAACCUGUGUCCGCUAUAUUUGAGGUUUGUUGCCGUGUGUCUGUGUGUCGCUAUAUUUGGGGUUCGUUGCUGUGAGUGUCUACUAUAUUUGGGGUUUGUUCUGUGUGUGUCCACUAUAUUUGGGGUUCAUUGCUGUGUGUGUGUGUCUGCUAUAUUUGAGGUUUGUUGCUGUGUGUGUGUCUCCGCUAUAUUUAGGGUUCAUUGCUGUGUGUUUGUGUGUCUGCUAUAUUUGGGGUUCGUUGCUGUGUGUGUGUGUCCGCUGUAUUUGGGGUUUGUUGCUGUGUGUGUGUGUGUCCCCGUGAUAGAGGGGUGAGGGAGGGAAUGGUAGCAAAGCAGAGAGAAGGAGCCGUGGCUCUCUAGGCGUGUGAAUUUGCAGGUCCAGGAGAGACACUGUCUCCACGUGUAGGUUUUGUGAGGUCAAGGGAAGGAGGAAGGAACAGAAGACAGCCUGCCUGUGUGUGUGUGUGAUGUGUGAUCUCCACUUUUGGGUCCUGUUGUACAUGCAUGUUAAUGUGGUAGAAAGAAAUGUGGUGUCCCUGUUGUAAACAAGUUGUGAAAAAAUCCUGGGUUUUUGUGGUGUAGUUUGCGUGUGUUGUACGUGCCCACACAAAAGAGGGACAUGGCUGUGAUUUGGUACAACUUUGUGUGUAACCCAGUUUGCAAGAGACAUCGAGAUAAAAACAUUGUGUGUGUGGUGACACUGUGGUCUUUGUGUGUGACUGUUGUGUGACUUUUGUGAUCAUCUAUAUUUGGGUUGGGCUGAGAAAGAGAAACUACUGUGUAGGGGGCAUAAUGAGUGUAUGUUCAGGAGAAAGACAUCCUGGCGGCAUUGGGAUUUGGGCUUUGAAGGAUGUCUAAGAGUUCAUUAGGCCAGACAGAAUGCUCGUGAGGCCAGAGGGAAAGAUCCGGGGAAUCCUGCCUAUCAGCCAACGGGGGUGAGGAGGCUGUAGUGGUGGGUGACCAGGGUGAAUUUGGAAACAGAACCUACUGCCAGCAAGGAAGAGGAGGAGCAACUGACUGCAACCCUUGCCCAGGUGCAGCAUUCCAAAUUCUUCAGUGUGGAGGACUCAGGGAGGUCGAAAAGCUCCUUGAGUGCAGCAGUUGGGAGCAUGGUGAAGGGGGGAGGGUCUGGCCGUGUCUGCAAGGUGACCAGACCUGAAGGUCCAGAGCCCCCCUCCAUCAUGGGGUACUUAAACUAUCAGCUGCCCUGGCCUGGUGUCCGAUUCCUGACUAUUCCUCAAGUGUCUUCCUAAGAAUCAUAGCCUGAUGCCUGCAGAGACAUUGAAGAUCCAGGGACACACAAAAAUGAAACCCAGUUAUCCUGGCACUCCACUUGCCAGCAAUGUGAUUAUGUUCUCUUCUCUCUGAGCUCCCGUUUUUGCCUCUGUAAAAUGGUGUUCAUAAUUCUUACCCACCUCACUGUACUGUUGUAAAGAUUUAAGGAGUUAAUAUACCUCGUGGGCCUUUUGUAACUUAACAAACCGCUAGAAAGCCUUUAAGCAUUGCUCCAUUUACAAAAAGUUCAAAAAAUAAGCAAAAUUAGACCUGUGCUGUCAGAAGUUAGGUUUGUGUUAUCUUUGGGGAGGGAAUGACUGGAAAGGGGCACCAGGGAAGCUUCUGGGUGCUAGUAAGGGUUAGGUACGGAGGAGGGAGUAGUUCAGUUGUGAAAAAUUGAGCAGUCUCCUUAGGAUCUAUGUGCUUUUCUGUCUCUGUUACUCUCUAACAAGAAGUUUCCAAAAGAAAAAAGGGCCAGGUGCAGUGGCUCAUACCUGUAAUCCCAGCACUUUGAGAGGCCAAGGCAGGCGGAUCACCUGAGGUCAGGAGUUCAAGACCAGUGUGGCCAACAUGACAAAACUCGUCUCUACUAAAAAUACAAAUAAAUUACCCGGGCAUGGUCGUGGGCACCUGUAAUUCCAGCUACUCAGGAGGCUGAGACAGGAGAAUCGCUUGGACCGAGGAGGCGGAGGUUGCAGUGAGCUGAAUCACGCCGCUGCCCUCCAGCCUAGGUGACAGAGAGACUCCAUUUCAAAAAAAAAAAAAAAAAAAAAAAGGCAGGGCUCAGUGGUGGAUCACUUGAGAUCAGGAGUUUGAGACCAGCCUGGCCAACAUGGCAAAACUCCAUCUCUACUAAAAUACAAAAAUUAGCUGGGCAGGGUGGCGGGUGCCUAUAAUCCCAGCUACUCCGGAGGCUGAGGCAGG